UUUAGGAUACGAUAGAUGGAUGGAGGAUGUGAAGGAUGGAGAACGAGUGGCUGGUGCAGAAACCCAAUCCAAGUGCUGUUUAAAGCAUAUGACAACCCACAUCGGAUUCCAUGCUCCGAGAUAAAAUGUGCUAGAGUUGGAGGAGGACCAUCUUGUACAUGUACAAUGGGGGAAAGCUACGAAGCAAAACGCUGCAGUAGACGUCGAUGACCACCACCACCACCAUGUCUUACAGUAGUAGAUAAAGGUUGAACAUCCCAAAGGCAGCAGGUACCGUUGUAUCCUCGAACGCCACUUACAAGGCUCGCCCAGGAUACUCUAUAGGCACAGUCGACAAUAUGUUAUAGGAAAAGCAGCUCGAUUUGGGGUCUCCCAGCUUCUGUGAAGCCUUGCCUGCGCCCCUUCGCCGGAGAUCGAUCGAUGGCGCAGCUUGUUCACGACUUGAGGAGUUCUUGUCAGCAGAUUAGGAGGAGGAGGAGGAGGACAGGAACUCAGAGGUCGGGUUAUGAGCUCAAGAAGGGAGAUGAGAGAUGCAAGCCCAAGUGGAAGAAAAGCUAAGGGGGAGAUUGUGACUCACUCUAUAGGCAAGUCUAAUGCUUGGCUUUGGGGAGGGAGCAGUUGAUCCUUUUCCCCUCUUGUUUCUGUUUUCUGUAUUCUCUUCAUCAAAUGACUUCCCUGCUUGGAAUUAUUUGUCUUUGACAAUGUGGUCUUCUUCAAAUUUCCUAGUGUGUGUGUGUUGUGCUCAUCUUUCCUUCUUUUUUCCUGGGAAGAAGUAUUCUAAAGCAACUGCUUUUGUUGAGAUGUAAUGGCAUAUCUGAUGGAUCAUCAAAUAAAGAGACUUCAUGACA